rnacentral:rRNA from 1 species
AGUGAACGCUGGCGGUAGGCCUAACACAUGCAAGUCGAACGGCAGCACAGGAGAGCUUGCUCUCUAGGUGGCGAGUGGCGGACGGGUGAGGAAUACAUCGGAAUCUGCCCAGUCGUGGGGGAUAACGUAGGGAAACUUACGCUAAUACCGCAUACGACCUUCGGGUGAAAGAGGGGGAUCGCAAGACCUCUCGCGAUUGGAUGAGCCGAUGUCGGAUUAGCUAGUUAGCGGGGUAAUGGCCCACCAAGGCGACGAUCCGUAGCUGGUCUGAGAGGAUGAUCAGCCACACCGGAACUGAGACACGGUCCAGACUCCUACGGGAGGCAGCAGUGGGGAAUAUUGGACAAUGGGCGCAAGCCUGAUCCAGCCAUACCGCGUGGGUGAAGAAGGCCUUCGGGUUGUAAAGCCCUUUUGUUGGGAAAGAAAUCUUUCAGGCUAAUACCCUGGGAGGAUGACGGUACCCAAAGAAUAAGCACCGGCUAACUUCGUG